CUCCUCAGUGGUAUAUAUGGAUCCAUCCUUUUGUUUUCACCUUAUUAAAAUAGUAAAAGUGUUUUUGAUUAGUAGCAUGGAGGAUGCGGGGUUCAUAAGCUACUGGAGAGAAAGGUGUGGGUUCCUAAAAAGACUGCUGACUUCACACUGGGAAGCACUCAGGAUAAGCAAGAGCCUGCAGAGAAAACAAAGCUGUUGGUGUAGGACGUGGAGCAGAAGGCGCGGGGGAACCUGCCGGAGGCUCCUGCUGCGCGGGGUCACGGGUCGCGGUGCGCAGCCGGCUCGGGAUCAAGCUCAAGGUUCUUGAGUGAUGGAAAAACCGUUUGACACAACGUCUCUGCGAGUCUGCCUUGCUAACGUGAGCCAGCUGAGGGAACACAAACAGAGGCACUGUAACCAGCCCAAAUCCCACCUUCCUCUGAAACUUCCAAGCCUCUUUUUUCCUGUCAGAUUCCAGACAGAUGAAAUUUUCCUGGCGUGGGCCCACUCCUGAUUUAUCGCGAUUCAGAGAUGUUGCCAGGACUUGAGUCUGCUGAUUGACAGGCUAGGAAGGGAAGGUGCCAGGCCCCGCAGAUCAAAUACGGCCUCAUCUGCCCCCGUUCUGCUUCAUCCUUCAGGACUUGCCGUGCUAUUUCUCAUUUUCUGGAAAUCCCAACUUGAAUUUGAUUCCAAGGCCCGGUUGAUACUGUUGUUUGUAUGAUAGUGUCAAGAGUGAGCACAUUCCUUGGAUCAUAAAUCAUCU